AGAUUGAACGCUGGCGGCGUGCCUAACACAUGCAAGUCGAGCGGUAACAGGUGUAGCAAUACAUGCUGACGAGCGGCGAACGGGUGAGUAAUGCUUUGGAAUCUUCCCAGUAGUGGGGAAUAACCAGUCGAAAGAUUGGCUAAUACCGCAUACGUCUGUAAAGGGAAAGCGGGGGCUCGUAAGACCUCGCGCUAUUGGAUGAGCCAAAGUCGGAUUAGCUAGUUGGUGGGGUAAUGGCCUACCAAGGCGACAAUCCGUAGCUGGUCUGAGAGGACGACCAGCCACACCGGAACUGAGACACGGUCCGGACUCCUACGGGAGGCAGCAGUGGGGAAUAUUGGACAAUGGGGGAAACCCUGAUCCAGCGACGCCGCGUGUGUGAAGAAGGCCUGCGGGUUGUAAAGCACUUUUUAGUGGGGACAAAAGCUACGGAUUAAUACUCUGUGGUCUUGAUUUAACCCAAAGAAAAGCACCGGCUAACUCUGCGCCAGCAGCCGCGGUAA
rnacentral:rRNA from 1 species